rnacentral:rRNA from 1 species
GACGAACGCUGGCGGCGUGCUUAACACAUGCAAGUCGAACGGAAAGGCCCUGCUUUUGUGGGGUGCUCGAGUGGCGAACGGGCGAGUAACACGUGAGUAACCUGCCCUUGACUUUGGGAUAACUUCAGGAAACUGGGGCUAAUACCGGAUAGGCGCGCCUGCUGCAUGGUGGGGGUUGGAAAGUUUCGGCGGUUGGGGUUGGACUCGCGGCUUAUCAGCUUGUUGGUGGGGUAGUGGCUUACCAAGGCUUUGACGGGUAGCCGGCCUGAGAGGGUGACCGGCCACAUUGGGACUGAGAUACGGCCCAGACUCCUACGGGAGGCAGCAGUGGGGAAUAUUGCACAAUGGGCGGAAGCCUGAUGCAGCAACGCCGCGUGCGGGAUGACGGCCUUCGGGUUGUAAACCGCUUUCGCCUGUGACGAAGCGUGAGUGACGGUAAUGGGUAAAGAAGCACCGGCUAACUACGUG